GACGAACGCUGGCGGCGUGCUUAACACAUGCAAGUCGAACGGAAAGGCCCUGCUUUUGUGGGGUGCUCGAGUGGCGAACGGGUGAGUAACACGUGAGUAACCUGCCCUUGACUUUGGGAUAACUUCAGGAAACUGGGGCUAAUACCGGAUAGGAGCUCCUGCUGCAUGGUGGGGGUUGGAAAGUUUCGGCGGUUGGGGAUGGACUCGCGGCUUAUCAGCUUGUUGGUGGGGUAGUGGCUUACCAAGGCUUUGACGGGUAGCCGGCCUGAGAGGGUGACCGGCCACAUUGGGACUGGGAUACGGCCCAGACUCCAACGGGAGGCAGCAGUGGGGAAUAUUGCACAAUGGGAGGAAGCCUGAUGCAGCAACGCCGCGUGCGGGAUGACGGCCUUCGGGUUGUAGACCGCUUUCGCCUGUGACGAAGCGUGAGUGACGGUAAUGGGUAAAGAAGCACCGGCUAACUACGUG
rnacentral:rRNA from 1 species